rnacentral:rRNA from 1 species
CCUACGGGAGGCAGCAGUGGGGAAUAUUGGGCAAUGGGCGCAAGCCUGACCCAGCAACGCCGCGUGAAGGAAGAAGGCUUUCGGGUUGUAAACUUCUUUUAAGAGGGAAGAGCAGAAGACGGUACCUCUUGAAUAAGCCACGGCUAACUACGUGCCAGCAGCCGCGGUAAUACGUAGGUGGCAAGCGUUGUCCGGAUUUACUGGGGGUAAAGGGCGUGUAGCCGGGCUGACAAGUCAGAUGUGAAAUCCCGGGGCUCAACCACGGAACUGCAUUUUAAACUGUCGGUCCUGAGUAUCGGAGAGGCAAGCGGAAUUUCCUGUGGUGCCGGUAAAAGCGGAGGUAAUAAGAGGAACACCCGUUGGGAAGGCGGGCCUGUUG